rnacentral:rRNA from 1 species
GAUGAACGCCAGCGGCAGGCCUAACACAUGCAAGUCGAGGGGCAGCACGUCUUCGGAUGGUGGCGACCGGCGCACGGGUGCGUAACGCGUAUGCAACCUACCUCUUACAGUGGGAUAGCCCAGAGAAAUUUGGAUUAAUACCGCAUAGUAUACAGAUUCAGCAUUGGGACUGUAUUAAACAUUUAUGGGUAAGAGAUGGGCAUGCGUUCUAUUAGUUAGUUGGAGUGGUAACGGCACCCCAAGACAGCGAUAGAUAGGGGCCCUGAGAGGGGGAUCCCCCGACACUGGUACUGAGACACGGACCAGACUCCUACGGGAGGCAGCAGUGAGGAAUAUUGGACAAUGGGCGAGAGCCUGAUCCAGCCAUGCCGCGUGCAGGAAGACGGCCCUAGUGGGUUAGUAAACUGUC